GACAGAGGGUGCAAACGUUGUUCGGAAUUACUGGGCGUAAAGCGCGUGUAGGCUGCUCGGAAAGUCGGAUGUGAAAGCCCUGGGCUCAACCUAGGAAGUGCAUUCGAAACUACCGAGCUGGAGUUCUGGAGAGGAAGGCGGAAUUCUCGGUGUAGAGGUGAAAUUCGUAGAUAUCGAGAGGAACACCGGUGGCGAAGGCGGCGACCUGGGUGGAUACUGACGCUGAGGUGCGAAAGCGUGGGGAGCAAACAGG
rnacentral:rRNA from 1 species